rnacentral:rRNA from 1 species
UAACGCGUAGGUAACCUGCCUUGUAGCGGGGGAUAACUAUUGGAAACGAUAGCUAAUACCGCAUAACAAUGGAUGACCCAUGUCAUUCAUUUGAAAGGGGCAAAUGCUCCACUACAAGAUGGACCUGCGUUGUAUUAGCUAGUAGGUGAGGUAACGGCUCACCUAGGCGACGAUACAUAGCCGACCUGAGGGGGUGAUCGGCCACACUGGGACUGAGACACGGCCCAG